CUGAAUAUACCGGUUCUCGUUAGAUCACCGAAGUUAAGCAUCAUUGGGCUUACGUUCAGUAUUUUUUUGGGUGGGUGACCACCUAAAAGCGGAAAACUGCGUGCCGU